rnacentral:lncRNA from 1 species
CCUAGUGGUGAGUGUGGUGUCUCUGAGUGUGGUAAAUGGAUGGAAAAGGGCGUUCUGGAAUUAGAAAGGUGAAAAGCAAACAAAAAGUCCUAUCAGCUACACUGCAGUUAACAGAAAGUACACACAACCCUGGGCGCAGUUCAGACUUCCCUGUCUAGACAGUGCCCCUUGGCUUUGUUGCUCACCCACACGUUUUGCAGAUGAACAAGUCUGAGACAAGGCUGCUCCUCCUGUGGGGGCAAAAUAAUUGCUGUGGAGUUUUACUUUGAUUUGUCUGAGCUAGUUUGGCACUUCACAGGCAGGCCUUGGGCAAGGACAAGGAGGCUCUAGUGGCGUCUUCACCGCAUCCUGGUGGGACUUCAGAGCUUCAGCUGGUCUUCUGUGCUGUCCGUGCUGCUGGACAGUGCCCACAUGUGGUGUUGGGAAGGCUCCAGGGGAGCAGGGGCACUGGUUGCAGAGAGCUGGGCACAGGAAGUUCAGUGGGGCUUUCCUUCUGCAGGCGUUAUUUACAGUUGGUAUUAACGGAUAUGUCCUAUUUGCAGCUGGAAGUGGGCAGCUCACUGAGUGCUUUUCUCCACCCUGCAUCGAAGGGUUUGUUGACCUUGUGACCUGCCCACAGCAUGUUGAAGACUGACCGAGGUACAAAUGGAAGCAUAGGCUGGGAGACACAAAAUAGUUGGUUUACCAGAAAGGAAGUUGGAAGAUGAUUUGAUCACAGCUUGUCAGCGCUCACAAAGCAAACCUUUGACUUUCAUCUCUUAAAUCUGGCACAUGAAAGUAUCAGAAGAACCAGUGAUUCUGGUUCUUCUGCAUCUGAGCAAGACAGAUCAAGCAACACAAAAGCAGAUCAGAGAAGAAAUGCAGAUUUUCAGCCUCCAGGCUAAUUACACUUUGGAACAAUGUAUUUAAAAAUGUGGUAGAUUUUCCAGAUGAAAGUUUUAAUUUGGAAUUUAGUUGCCUAAAAGAAAAAAAAAAAAAAAAGUCUGCUCCAGACAAAU